AAGUCGCCUUUCCUCUCGAUUCAAACGAAGCCAAGUUGGAAGUUGGGACGGACUGCUUCUCCAAUUGCAUUGGACCCAAGGUUGAAGAAUAUAAGUUGGUGGGAUUUUCAAGCUUUAUGCAGAAAAGAAACUGUGGGUUGAUUCGAUUGAAGAAUAUAAGUUGGGCUGCCCUGAGUUCUUGAAAAGCUAUACAAACAAUAUCAGAGUGCAAAUUUAACUGAUUUUCUGGUGUAUUUAUAUGUUUCAUCUAGUGCUAUAUGUUCUUCCUUUUUUUCUGGUUUUUUUUUUUUUUUUUGUGGAAAGCAAUUAAUGGGUGCUCUGAGUUUUUGAGACGAAAAAAAGAUGAGAUUUCAGCUCUAGUGUGUCAUUUAAUUCUGCGGGAUUAUUGCUUCUUGUGCUUCAGGGUAUUUUUAUACAGUACAUUAGGAAGCUUAUUCAGAAAACGAAUCAAAGUUACGUUUUUGAUUUGUUGUGGAGCAGCUGGAUAAUAGAUGAUAAAUGGUGGAGGACCUUGUCAUUUUCUCAUGGUAUAGAUGAAAAAGAUGCACAUAAACAGAUUGAUAAUUUGAAAGUGGAACUGAAACUUUUAACCAACUUUACUGAUUUACAUAGAAUUUUGACCUAUUCCGAUGACAAGUGGGUGUUGGUCAGUUGGGAUCUCUAUUCUUGAACCUUGAAGAGGGACUUUCAUGUUGGUUUUGAGAAAGAUAUGCAUUAGGGGGAUGUAUGGUUAUAUCCUGCAACUCCUAAGUUUCAAUCAAAGAUUGCAUCCUUGAGGCAGCGAAUUGAAGCAGAAAAUGAUUCUACUUCAUUGAACAACUAUUCAUUUGAUCCCAGCCUCUGCUGAGGGAUUAUGAUCUUUGGAAGCAAUUUAUUUCCUCUCUUGGGUGAAAGUUUGCGGGAUCUUUACAACGGGAAAGAUGAGUUGCUUCAGCCUCAUAGGGUUACAGCUGCGUACCAUGCUAGAGAUGCUAGAAUCCUUGAGGUGCUUUAUCUUCUAUGUUGAAGGCUUCUGUUCCUGAGGAGGCUGAACUUUAAUUCCUUUUUAGAGGGUUCAUGCACCUUAUAAUGUUUCUGCUAGUGAGCUUGUUUUUUCACUUACCGGCCUCAUGUGGACGAACAAUAGCUGGCAUAGACAAGAAAGCUGAUCCAGCUCCUGUUAAGUUGCUUGAAAAGAUGGGGAUUCGAAGGUUGAGAUGUUCUUCUGGAGCUGCUAGGCCAAAAUAUCCAUUUGGAGUCCCUUGUGGAGAUUAUUAUUGAUUCUCUCAAUGAUUUACAUGGCUUUGGUGAAUCUUUGUUGCAAAACAAAUACACCUUAGGGGAACAAUAAUGUUCCUAAACCAAUCUCAAUGAAUGGUAAAUCUAAGGCUAGGAAGGGUAACUCUUUCUCUCUCUCAUUUCAUGCCAAGUCAAUGAUUGAAGAUAUGGCCAAACAUUGAGCUUCUGAAGUUUCUUGACCAGCUUAAACUGUUAAAAUGGAGCUACUUCUGGAAGUGCUUUUUAAUGGGCAAGCACAUAUGAUUUUAAAUGUGAAAAACAAUAGAAGCCUAUUGUGAGGGGCUUACAGUAUUCAACAUUUUUUCUGCUGUGUCUACUAGUGGAGAAUGGUGUAAUGAUCUUGAAACACUUGAAAUCAGCAGCAAAUGACACAGCUUCAGUUUAUUAUGCUUUUCAUGCUAAAGCUAUUGUACAAGACACUGAGGAAUUGUUGCAAUUUGCUUCCCGAAAGUAUAAAAGAUUAAACUUGUCAUCAGAGAUCA